GGAGGAUGGGUUCCAUGAGUGUGGAGGGGGACUCUAAGGGAUAGGAGAUUCCACCUGUGGUCAGUGCGGCGCCAGCAGCUGGAGAUGCUGCAGUGUGUGUUGCAAAUCUUCUUGGAAUCAGCUACAGGACCUCUGCCGCCUGGCCAAGCUCUCAUGCCCUGCCCUCGGAAUCUCCAAGAGGAACCUCUAUGACUUUGAAGUCGAGUACCUGUGUGACUACAAGAAGAUCCGCAUGAGGAAACCAAGGCUCAGCAAAAUUAAAUAACUUGUCCAAGGCCAUACUACUAGGGAAUGAAGGUUCAGAAUUUGUACCCAGGGUGUCUGUGUAGUUAAACUGUGUCCUAUAGCCGCCCCCAGCAAGAGAAGGUCCCUCUGGCUGCUGUUUGGAGAACAGACUAUAGGGGCAAGGGCAGAAGCAAGGGGACCAGUGAGGAGGCCACUGCUGCAGUCCAGGCGAGUGGUGACAGUGAUGAUGGUUGUAAGUGGUUGAAUUCUGGAUGUAGUUUGAAGGUGGGGUUGACAGGAUUUGCUGAGGGUGGAUGUGAGGAGUAUUAGAGAAAGGAGUCAAGGAUGACUCCCAAGAGUUGGGGCCUGAGCUGCUAGCAGGAGGGAGCUAAUGAUGAGGAAGACAGAGAAGGGAGUAGGUUUAGGAGAUAAAAUUAAAAUUUAGAAUUUGACCCUGGCCAGUGUGGCUAAGUUGGUUGGGCAUUGUCCCAUGCACUGAAAGGUUGCUGGUUCCAUUCCCAGGGCACAUGCCCAGGUUGCAGGUUUGAUUCCCAGUCGGGGGCGUGCAGGAGGUGGCCGGUCAAUGUUUCACUCUCACAUGGAUGUUUCUCUCUCUAAAAAUCAAUUAAAAUUACUCUUUAAAAAGUUAGAAUUUAGACAGCAUGAGUAGAACAGGACUUGAACCUACUGAUCCUGGCUUUAGAGCCCAUGCUUUUUAACCAAUGCAUGGAGCCAUUCCAGAAAAGGGUGGGGAGUGGUUUGGGUGUUAUCCAUUGGUUUUGGAAUGGAAGUCUCACGAGGGCUGGCCCAAGGGUCUCGCCACUUAUGGUGGCCCCCAUCCCCCUGGUCCCCCCAACAGGAACAGGAGUAUUACCUGGUAAAAUGGCGUGGAUACCCAGAGUCAGAGAGUACCUGGGAGCCACGGCAGAAUCUCAAGUGUGUGCGCAUUCUCAAGCAGUUCCACAAGGACUUAGAACGAGAGUUGGUCCGGCGGCGCCACCGGUCAAAGCCACCCCGGCACCUGGACCCAAGCUUGGCCAGCUACCUGGUGCAGAAGGCCAAGCAGAGACGGGCACUCCAGCUCUGGGAGCAGGAGCUCAAUGCCAAACGCAACCAUCUGGGACGCAUCACUGUGGAGAAUGAGGUGGAUCUGGAUGGCCCCCCUCGGGCCUUUGUAUACAUUAACGAGUACCGCGUUGGUGAGGGCAUCACCCUCAACCAGGUGGCCGUGGGCUGUGAGUGUAAGGACUGCUUGUGGGCACCUGCUGGAGGCUGCUGCCCGGGGGCAUCGCUGCACAAGUUUGCCUACAAUGACCAGGGCCAGGUGCGGCUGCGAGCUGGGCUGCCCAUCUACGAGUGCAACUCCCGUUGCCGCUGUGGCUAUGACUGCCCCAACCGUGUGGUACAGAAGGGCAUCCGCUACAACCUCUGCAUCUUCCGCACGGAUGAUGGGCGUGGCUGGGGCGUCCGCACACUGGAGAAGAUCCGCAAGAACAGCUUCGUCAUGGAGUACGUGGGAGAGAUUAUUACUUCAGAGGAGGCGGAGCGGCGGGGCCAGAUCUACGACCGCCAGGGUGCUACAUACCUCUUUGACCUGGACUACGUGGAGGAUGUGUACACUGUGGAUGCCGCCUAUUAUGGCAACAUCUCCCACUUUGUCAACCACAGUGUGGGUACCCUGCAGGUGGGCGAGGGUCGGGAGGAGCAGGCUGGGCCCCUCCUCACCCUCCUGCUGUUCUCUUUCUCCCAGUGCGACCCCAACCUCCAGGUGUACAACGUCUUCAUAGACAACCUUGAUGAGCGGCUGCCCCGCAUUGCUUUCUUUGCCACAAGAACCAUCUGGGCAGGCGAGGAGCUCACUUUUGAUUACAACAUGCAAGGUGGGGGUGUCAAGGGACUGGGGGCAGGGGCACACAGUGACAUGGGACACAAAGACCCCUCCCCAAGGAGCUUUAAGAUGCUCUUUCUGACUCCCAAUCUCCCAUCUGGACUUUUGGACCCCUGCCUACCCUUUGGGGGUCCCCUCAUUCCCAACCCCUGGACCAACUUCUCCCAAGACUCCUGGGGGAGGAAGAUGUUUGGCUUGAGAAUUAAUACUUCUCCUGAUUUCAAUCUUGUCUGAAAUAUCCUCAGUCCCCCAACCCUCCCUGUUCCUAACCCUUUUUGGCUUUCCUCGUUCUAAGCCUCUGGACACCCUAUGGCCUCCAACCAGUCCCCUACUUGACAAACUAGCCACCUCUGAGACACUCAAGAGGGGAUCUUUGGCAGGAGAGUUCAGAUAUCCCUCUGAUGCCCAGGUGACCCUUCAUUCCCAGACCUCUGCCUGCCACAACCCUCCUGGUUCUCCCCAACACCCCCUGCCUCCCCACAACCCCGGGCCAUCUUCCUUUCCCCCGUAUAACCCCCAAAUCCUGGCCAUCUUCCUAACAUGUGAACACCCUCUAGUGCUAAGCCCUGGCCCCAGCCCCAAACUACCAACUCCAUGACCCCCCUCCUGACCCAAAUCCCAGACCUGUUCCCAGCCCCCAAGAUCCCUGGGUCUCAUGGUAAAGGGGCAGUGGGACACUACACCUAGGCCUUCUAACAAGUCCCCUCCCCCCUCCUGCCCUCCCUGGCUGUGUGACUCCACAGUGGACCCCGUGGACAUGGAGAGCACCCGCAUGGACUCCAACUUUGGCCUGGCUGUGCUCCCCGGCUCCCCCAAGAAGCGGAAGUAGCUGCCCACAUGCCACUGGAAGGAGAGUGGAUGCCCAUGGCUCACUGGUCACUGGCCAAUGAGAGGAAGGCAGUCCAGACUCUCCGAACCCUUAAGGUGGACUGGGAUUGAGCUCUGCCCAUGAGGUGCACAGAAGGCGCCUGGGAGCCCCGUCGGCGUGUGACGACUGCUGGGACUACUCAGAGCUGGAACCAAGACCUAGGUAGGCUGUAGAUAGCACUUAGGACAAAAAUGUGCAUUGAUGGGGUGGUGCUGAGGUGCCAGGCACUGGGCUGAGCACCUGGUCUACAUAGAUUGUCUCAGGGAAGCCUUAAAAACUGUGGAGGUGGAUCCUAGGAAAGGGCCCAUAUGGCAGGAGGCCAAGUACAGUCUCAAAAGUUACCUGCCCACAGAUGUACAGAAGACGAAGGCUCUGAUGGCUGCCUCACCCCUUGCUUCCCCUGUGAGGUCUUCUCCAGGAAGCCUUCCCUGACUACCUGUGCCCAGAGUGCCCCUCUGUGAGACUGUGCCCUGCCACCAGAUCUGUGUGGCUGUCUGUGUGUCUGUGCUCCCUGCCCCUAGACUGAAUUUCAGGCAUGGACUGAAUCUCAUUCUCCUCUUGUAUAUUUCUUGGCCCAACCCAGCCUGGGGUAGGCAUCAAUAAAAUGAGUUGCUGACUGAACAAA